rnacentral:lncRNA from 1 species
UGUCUUUAAGGCAACUUAAAACAAUUAUUGUCUUUUUACCAUGAACUUUAUAAUUGGGGCCAAAUAUGGCACUUACCGAACUUACUCCUUUGUCUACAUCAAGGUCCAAAAUUAAACUUAGUUUGAUUUUAACAAAAAUUGAAUUCUUGGGGUUCUUUGAUAUGCUGAAUCUAAGCAUGUACUUAGUUUUUUUUAUAUUUGGGCCCGGUUAUCAAAUUGGUCCACAGUGAGGUCUAUAGGGCCAAAAUUGAAUUUUAUUUGAUUUCAUCAAAAAUUGAAUUCUUGGGGUUCUUUGAUAUGCUGAAUCUAACCAUUUAUUUAGAUUUUGGAUAUUGGAAUACUACAAAGGGAUGGUAAGAAUUGUCUUUGGCUCAAACGGUUAAGAAAUAAGGUGCAAAAAAGGGGGAAAAGGGUUUCCAGGUUAAUGGACAAUUACUUAAGUACAAAAC